rnacentral:misc_RNA from 1 species
UCCGAGUUGACCCCGGCCGAACCGCUGGCAACUAGGGACAAGGGUUGCGCUCGUUGCGGGACUUAACCCAACAUCUCACGACACGAGCUGACGACAGCCAUGCAGCACCUGUUUUCAGGGCCCGAAGGCACUCCUCCAUCUCUGGAGGAUUCCAUCAAUGUCAAGGGCAGGUAAGGUUCUUCGCGUUGCAUCGAAUUAAACCACAUGCUCCACCGCUUGUGCGGGCCCCCGUCAAUUCCUUUGAGUUUCAACCUUGCGAUCGUACUCCCCAGGUGGAAUGCUUAACGCGUUAGCUUGGACACUGCGCCGCAAUUGGCGCAACGUCGAGCAUUCAUCGUUUACGGCGUGGACUAC